rnacentral:rRNA from 1 species
UGGGGAAUCUUGGACAAUGGGGGCAACCCUGAUCCAGCCAUGCCGCGUGAGUGAUGAAGGCCUUAGGGUCGUAAAGCUCUUUCGCCUGUGAAGAUAAUGACGGUAGCAGGUAAAGAAACCCCGGCUAACUCCGUGCCAGCAGCCGCGGUAAUACGGAGGGGGUUAGCGUUGUUCGGAAUUACUGGGCGUAAAGCGCACGUAGGCGGACCAGAAAGUUGGGGGUGAAAUCCCGGGGCUCAACCCCGGAACUGCCUCCAAAACUAUUGGUCUAGAGUUCGAGAGAGGUGAGUGGAAUUCCAAGUGUAGAGGUGAAAUUCGUAGAUAUUUGGAGGAACACCAGUGGCGAAGGCGGCUCACUGGCUCGAUACUGACGCUGAGGUGCGAAAGUGUGGGGAGCAAAACAGGAUUAGAUACCCUGGUAGUCCACACCGUAAAACGAUGAAUGCCAGUCGUCGGGUAGCAUGCUAUUCGGUGACACACCUAACGGAUUAAGCAUUCCGCCUGGGGAGUACGGUCGCAAGAUUAAAACUCAAAGGAAUU